UGAUCCUUUAAAAAAAAGCGUCACAUGAUCAGCGAAUAGCAGUAAGAUAUCUACAUUCGAACAUUCGAUCUAAAUUCGAGGUUGGAACUGUACGAUUAUUCAAUCUAGGAUUGUGGGUUUCCUGUGGUGCAAAAGGCUCGGUCACAUUGUUGUAAACAUGGCGGAUAGCAGCAGUGAAGAAAUAGAAUCAACUAAUGGAAGCCGUUUUUAUGGCUACGCGCUUUACACAUAAAAUGCCAACAGGUGAAUGAGAGAAUAGGAACCCGGACCUUCGUUGAACUGGCCUUUUUCUUGAGACAUCGGUGAUGGUUUAUUUCUUAUAUCCGGUUUAUGUUUUGUCAGAGUGGUUAUCGAAAACUUGUCCCUGGAUUUUACGAUAUGCCUCGGGGAAUAUACCCUGGGUACCAGAGGCUCCGAGCUUCGCGGGCGACAACGUUUUAAUCGCUCGUGGAAUAGAGUUUCCCUCAAGCAAAGCCUUCGCACGGUACGUCGGCACGUCGUCUAUGGUGGCUUGUGUGGAUUACAUGGAGGAGCCAUCUUUGUCGGAUGCAGUUCAAGAGGUUCAGGAUACCUGUUUCCUGUAUUAGACACUUCUCAGAACAACAGUCACGGUGACCAUGGCGGGUGGCUUGACUGCUCUUCUUGGAAUUUUUUGUAUGUUUUUAUCGCUGUCGGAUGGAGCUCUUCCGGAAUAUCUUCCAAGAUCGUCCAAUCAUGUUCCGAGAGACACUCUCAUAAUGGAAUACUUCUAUUUGGGUUUCAGCUACACUGAAAUUUUGUUUUUUCUUACAUCUGUUCAUGGAAUUCGACUUUGCUUAAGACAGCUGAAAAGAGUACUCAGGCAAAACGGGCUUAAAA